rnacentral:rRNA from 1 species
CCUACGGGAGACUGCAGUGGGGAAUAUUGCACAAUGGGGGAAACCCUGAUGCAGCGACGCCGCGUGAGUGAAGAAGUAUCUCGGUACGUAAAGCUCUAUCAGCAGGGAAGAAAAUGACGGUACUUGUCUAAGAAGCCACGGCUAACUCCGUGCCAGCAGCCGCGGUAAUACGUAGGGGGCAAGCGUUAUCCGGUUUUACUGGGUGUAAAGGGAGCGGAGACGGCAGCACAAGUCUGGAGUGAAAUCCCGGGGCUUAACCCCGGAACUGCUUUGGAAACUGGGCGGCUGGAGUGCAGGAGGGGUAAGCAGAAUUCCUAGUGUAGCGGUGAAAUGCGUAGAGAUUAGGAGGAACACCGGUGGCGAAGGCGGCUUACUGGACUAUAACUGACGUUGAGGCGCGAAAGCGUGGGGAGCAAACAGGAUUAGAUACCCGAGUAGUC